AUCACAGAAGAGCUGGGGAUGCCUGACCUUUUCAGUCUGCUUAGUGCUGCAACUCUGAAUCACUUCAGACCCGCCUGGAAAAUUGGUAUACAUCUGGAACUGCUGGAUGACCUUGUGGUGGAAGGUUUUAUACCCAGGGGGAGGAGUCAGGAGCUGGAUGGACGUUCCAUACGCUUCCCUUCCUCGAGGAAUGCCAUGACUUCGGGUCCUUUCAUUCUCUAGAAGGGGAGAAAGA